rnacentral:rRNA from 1 species
AUUGAACGCUGGCGGCGUGCUUAACACAUGCAAGUCGAGCGGUAACAGGCGUAGCAAUACGCGCUGACGAGCGGCGAACGGGUGCGUAAUACAUGGGAAUCUGCCCUUUGGUGGGGAAUAACCCGGCGAAAGCCGGGCUAAUGCCGCAUAAGAUCUUCGGAUGAAAGCGGGGGAUCGUAAGACCUCGCGCCGAUGGAUGAGCCCAUGUCGGAUUAGCUAGUUGGUGAGGUAACGGCUCACCAAGGCGACGAUCCGUAGCUGGUGUGAGAGGACGGCCAGCCACACUGGGACUGAGACACGGCCCAGACUACUACGGGAGGCAGCAGUGUGGAAUAUGGGACAAUGGGGGAAACCCUGAUCCAGCGACGCCGCGUGUGUGAAGAAGGCCUGCGGGUUGUAAAGCACUUUCGAUGGGAACGAAAUGUGCCGGGCUAAUACCCCGGCAAGCUGACGUUACUCAAUGAAGAAGCACCGGCUAACUCUGUGCCAGCCGCCGCGGUAAAAC